AUUGAACGCUGGCGGCAGGCCUAAUACAUGCAAGUCGAACGGUGUCUUCGGACAUAGUGGCGCACGGGUGCGUAACACGUAUGCAACCUACCUUACAUUGGGGGAUAGCCUUUCGAAAGGGAGAUUAAUACCGCAUAAGACAGUAGCUGGGCAUCCAGCAGCUGUUAAAGAUUUAUCGAUGUAAGCUGGGCAUGCGUCCAAUUAGCUAGUUGGUGAGGUAACGGCUCACCAAGGCAAUGAUUGGUAGGGGAACUGAGAGGUCAAUCCCCCACACUGGCACUGAGCUACGGGCCAGACUCCUACGGGAGGCAGCAGUAGGGAAUAUUGGGCAAUGGACGCAAGUCUGACCCAGCCAUGCCGCGUGCAGGAUGAGGGCGUUAUGCGUUGUAAACUGCUUUUAUACAGGAAGAAACGACUCUUGCGAGAGGCAUUGACGGUACUGUAUGAAUAAGCACCGGCUAACUCUGUGCCAGCCGCCGCGGUAAAAC
rnacentral:rRNA from 1 species